CCAAUGGUACAAUGGCCUGACAAAUCAUUUACGUUAGGUUUUGAACAAGCCUUAGCAUGGCAGAGAUCAGGUCUAAUGGUGAGGCCUACAUUUCAGUUCAGUUUGUGCCCAACUUUGGGUGGAAGCAAUCCUGGGUUGCGAGCAGAACUUAUUCAUUCAGUAAAUGAACAACUGAAUCUGAUCUGCGGCUGUGCAUUCAUGACACACCCUUCCAUAUUUGCAUCACUGUCUAUUGGCCGGUCUAAGUGGAAUGGUAGCACCGGGAGUUCAGGAAUUGUUGUUAGAGUUGAUAGUCCGCUCUCUGAUGUUGGUCGACCAUCGUUUUCCGUUCAGAUAAAUAGCGGCAUUGAGUUUUGAACGUCUGGCAUCACAUAUCUUGCAUUAGG
rnacentral:misc_RNA from 1 species